AUUGAACGCUGGCGGCAGGCCUAACACAUGCAAGUCGAGCGGAUGAAGAGAGCUUGCUCUCUGAUUUAGCGGCGGACGGGUGAGUAAUGCCUAGGAAUCUGCCUGGUAGUGGGGGAUAACGUUCCGAAAGGAACGCUAAUACCGCAUACGUCCUACGGGAGAAAGCAGGGGACCUUCGGGCCUUGCGCUAUCAGAUGAGCCUAGGUCGGAUUAGCUAGUUGGUGAGGUAAUGGCUCACCAAGGCGACGAUCCGUAACUGGUCUGAGAGGAUGAUCAGUCACACUGGAACUGAGACACGGUCCAGACUCCUACGGGAGGCAGCAGUGGGGAAUAUUGGACAAUGGGCGAAAGCCUGAUCCAGCCAUGCCGCGUGUGUGAAGAAGGUCUUCGGAUUGUAAAGCACUUUAAGUUGGGAGGAAGGGCAUUAACCUAAUACGUUAGUGUUUUGACGUUACCAACAGAAUAAGCACCGGCUAACUUCGUGCCAGCAGCCGCAGUAA
rnacentral:rRNA from 1 species